rnacentral:sRNA from 1 species
ACAAGUACUUUUUCGAGACAGGGUUUCUCUGUGUAAAAGCCCUGGCUCUUCUUGACUCACCUUGUAGACCAGGCUGGCCUCAAACACAUAGAUAACUACCUGCCUCUCUCUGCCUCUGCCUCUUGAGUGCUGGGAUUAAAGGCAUGCACCACCCUGUCUGGC